UCAGUGUCAGAUAGUUUGGUUCAAAUUCCUGGUCUAUCUCUUGCUAUUUGUGUGACCUUGGACAAGUCACUAGGUCUUAACUUUGUCACAUGUGACAUACAAUAUUGAUAGUACCUUCUUCAUAGGGUUGUUGUGAGAAUUAUAUGAGAUGACACAUGUAAAGCUCAUUAAAGGGUCAAUGAAUGUUGGCUGUCACUAUUAGGAGGAGUCAUGUGGGAAAGAGAUGAGGUCAGUUUCAAUAUAGUAGGUAGAUUAGGCAAAACCAGAAUGUGCUGCAAUGGCACAGAGGGGCACCUAACCAAGACUCUGUGAAGGCCUAAGAGAGUAGGUGAUUUUUAUGUGAGUCUGGAGAGAUGGAGGAAUGUGCGUGAAGUUGGAGAGAGAUUCCAGGCAGAGAGAUCAGGUCAUGCAAAUGUAGGAAUCUGUGAGAUCCCAAGAUGUAUUCAGGGAACUAUGAACAAUACAGAAUGGCUGUAGUACAUCUGUAUUGUGGCAAAGGAUGAGACCAGGAAGUUUCCAGGGAUCAUAAAACGGAAAACCUUGUAAGCCAGGCUAAGGAGAAUGAACUUUGUCCUAUAGGUCAUGAAGAGCCAAUGAAGGAUUUCACAUGAAAGGAUCGCAUCUGUAUGUUAGUAUCACUCUGGAAGAGGGUGAACUGGAGAAAGGCAAGCCUGGAGGAAUAAUAAAUUCCUCAGUAGAGACCACAGCAUUUAUAUACCGGAGCAACUGUAUUCCUAAAUACAUUUACGUCUACAAACACCUUUUUGAAUUAAAUGUAUCAUUUCUGAUGGUGUGUGAGGGGAAGAGAAGAAAAGCCAAAGUUAAAUGAAUGGGACUCCACGAACAACCCAAGUCGAAUUCGCUGAUGUUGGCUCCGAAGAAUUCAUCUUAAUCAAUGAGAUUGCUUCUGUUCCCGUAAAAAUGACUGAUUGGGACGCAUAAAAUACGCUAUCAACUUUUGCCCCAAACUAAGCAGUUUAGAUCAUUUAUUUCCAUAAAAUGAGACUGCAUCGCGUGUCAAGCUGGCGCAUUUUCUGUGUGACUGACUUGAGAGUCUGAGUUGACAGUUUAAGUUCUAAUUAUUCGCGCCCUCCUCAGUCUGCUAUUACAGGAGGACACGGGACUCUCCCAGAGGAGUGCCCGAAAGGACGUUAUGUGGGCUGACGGGAAGCAGCUGAGAAAGAUCCACCGGGCUUUUUAAUGCAGAUGAUGUACGGCUGUGGAGAGGAGCCAAAGGGGAUCGAAGAACCCUGAUUGGAAGGUUCAAGUGUGUUCCAUGUGUUACUCCCCUAGCCUUUUCAUUAAUGCUGUGUAAAGGCAAGCAGAGUCCCAGCUGGUGAAAAGCCUAUCUUCCUUAAUGGUUUAAAGAGCACAGAUCUGGAGCCAGACUGCCUGGAUUGGAAUUCCAGUGCUACCACUUACUACCUUUGCAACCUUGGGCAGGUAAUUUAACCUCUCUGUGCCUCGGUUUCAUGAUCUACAACAUGGAGGUAAUAGUAAUUCACAGGGUUGUUAUGAGGAUCCAGUGAAUUAAUACUUAGAAUUAUUAGAAUACAAGAAUAGUGCUUGCCACGUAAUGUUUGUUGCUGUUACUAUUUUCAAAAAUAUGUUAGUAUGAUUAUCAUUCCCUUCCCUUCCCUUGCCUAGCUCUACACUUAGGCAGCCUAAUCAUUGCCAUUGGGAAGGGGUUGUUUCAGAAAGGAUAUAAGAGUCUCAUUUUGGUCUUUCAAAUGCCUAGCUCUCAGGGAAACAGAAAUGACUCAGAGCAGAUUAAAAAAAUACAAACAAGGCUUCCUGCUUCUGAGACUAGAAUGGUGUUCUUGAGAUGGGAAAGAGAAGAAAGUGAAGGGAAAGGUAGGUGCAGUCGACACUAGUAGGUGCCCGGAAGACAUCCUGCCCCCUGACUUCACUGAUCAUGUGUGGGACUGAGGGCCAGUGGUGGAGGGAAUGAUACGGAACCCCAGAAAAUCCGUGGAAUGCAAGAGCACAGGAGACGCGUGCUUCCUUUCAGGGUAGAGUCCUUGGCAGAGGCAAGACCCCAAAGGAGGAGUAGCUGUGCUGUGUAUCCAGGCAGACAGGGCUGGGAGAACCUCACAGAAAUUCUCUAUACCACGGCCUGGUGUAGUCACAAUGAUUCUUUUGCAUCUGAGAGGGAGACCAAAUUAUCAACUAGAAAAAGCCAGGCCUGAAGGAGCUUUGAGGAUUGGAAAAGGGAUGAUUCCUGGUGAUCUGCAUGUACUGAAGAUCAAGGAUCAGAUGGCAUGAUAGAUGUUUCCACAGAUGUCAGCACGGACAAAUGACACUGAGGACCAGAUGCCCCUUAAUCGCAGACCAUAGCAAUAUGUGUUCAUGGUGAUGGUUCCAGCCUCCUGUGUUCAGGAUUCAUUAUUUGAAAAUCAGCAAGAUUGACAUCUGCCUACCUAUAAAAAGAUGUAAUAUAAAUAUUAUAUAUAAUACAUAUUAUAUAUAGCAAUCCAUAUCCUAUAGUUUACUGGCACAAGAAGAACAGGAGAAAGGGAUGGAAGAAAAGAAGGCAGAAACGAGGUAAGAAGGGGAGGAAAAGGUAGAUGUGAAGGAGGAAAUUACCUUCUUCCUAGGAGUUAUAAUAUCCAUUUCAAACUUUUUUCAAUUUUCGUUCCCAAGUAAGGGUCUAAAAUUAUUACCAUCAGUACAGUAUAUUCACCUCGGCCCAUCGAUGUUCUUCUAUUGGUUGCUGUCCACUAUAUGAGUCUGUUCAUGAAUAUUCUGUUCUUAUUCUACAGAGAGAGGGGCUCAGUUCAGAUCCCUCCCAGACAAUCACCGCUAUUUCCAAGAGACCAUAACCUUUCUCCAAGCCAAAUCAAAUCCAGGACUUGUGAGACACCGUAGGCUAAUUUUCAAAUCAACAGGACAGAAGCUAGAAAACAAGCUUUAUCUCUUAGAAGAAAGUGAAAUUCUUGAACUAUAGAACUACUACCUUAUUUCAGGCAAAAAAAAAGAUUUUGGGUGAGGAACAGGUAUAAAUGUAUCUGUCAUCAGAAAGAAAAAUAGAAAUGUCUGAGACAGCUGUAAGUCCAAGUGGAGUUGGUGGAUUUUUAAACACACUCCUCAGGCCAAACAAAGAACUUAUUUGUGUAUGGUGAAGUAUGAUUUACCAAGGAAGGGGGCUCACUGUCCUAUCUGAAACAUCCUUUUGAAAGACACCUGCAGCACUAUUAUGCAAUGUAAAGCACCAGGUCAUUAAGGGCUCCGUCAAUCAAGUUACUGAUUCUUCCAGAUACGGCUGGUGAAUAAAGAAGGCACGUCUCCGUUUCAGACUGAAAGUCACACUCCACCUGCUCCAAGCCCUGGGGUUUUGGAAAAAAAAGAGAAGUUAACCUAAUCUACUUCCAUACUAAAAGAAACAUUUGGUUCUCAAAGCCAGACUUUAGGAGUUCUUUCAUCCAAGCAGAAGCUGAUUCUUCAGGUAUAUCCUUCUGCUACAGUUGCUUCCAAAUAUCUGAGAAGAUUGUCCAAGAUGGCAGAGUAAAAAGACCCUGAGCUCACCUCCUCUCACGAGCACAUCAAAAUCACAACUAUCUGCAGAACAGCCAUCAGUGAAAAGGACUGGAGCCUACCAGAAAAGAUUUACAACUAAAGACAUAAAGAAGGAACCACAAUGAAAUGGCUAGGAGGUGCGGACUUGUGCUAUCAUCAAAUCCUAUACCCCUGGGUUGGCAACCACAAACUGGAGAAUAAUUAUAUUGCAGAGGUACUCCCAUAAGAGUGACAGUUCUGAGCCCCAAAUCAAGCUCCUCAGCCCAGGGGUCCUGGACUGGGAAGAUGAGCCCUCAGAGGCACGUGGUUUGAAGACAAGUGGGGCUUACUUUUUGAGAGCCCCGUAGGACUGGGAGAAAUAGAAACUUCACUAGGGUAAAGUGCACACAAAAUCUCCCAUGCACUGGGACCCAGGGCAAAAGGAGUAAUUUGAUAGGAACCUGGGCCAGACCUAACUGCUGAUCUGUGGGGGAGACCGGGGGGUGCACAGCAGCUGUGGCUCACCCUGGGGACAUAGACUCUGGUGGCAGCCAUAUUUGGGAAUGUUCUACCUUGUGGACACUGCAGUUGGCAUUGUGAGAACCUCCUUCUAGCCCAUUAGCACCAAGAGCUGCUCCCACCCAAAAGCCUGUAGGCACUAGUACUGGGGACACCUCAGGGCAAACAGCUAACUGGGUGGGGACAGAGCCCCAUGCGUCAACAGACAGGCUG